UUGCUUUGGCAGCACAUAUACUAAAACGACACAGAGAAGAUUAGCAGGGGUCCCUGUGGAAAGAUGACAUGCAAAUUCAUGAAGUGCUUCAUAUUAAA
rnacentral:snRNA from 1 species